rnacentral:rRNA from 1 species
AUACGGAGGGGGCUAGCGUUGUUCGGAAUUACUGGGCGUAAAGCGCGCGUAGGCGGACUGGUUAGUUGGGGGUGAAAUCCCAGGGCUCAACCCUGGAACUGCCCUCAAUACUGCCAGUCUUGAGUUCGAGAGAGGUAAGUGGAAUUCCUAGUGUAGGGGUGAAAUUCGUAGAUAUUAGGAAGAACACCAGUGGCGAAGGCGGCUUACUGGCUCGAUACUGACGCUGAGGCGCGAAAGCGUGGGGAGCAAACAGGAUUAGAUACCCUAGUAGUCC